GAAAUGCGAUAAGUAAUGUGAAUUGCAGAAUUCAGUGAAUCAUCGAAUCUUUGAACGCACAUUGCGCCCGCCAGUAUUCUGGCGGGCAUGCCUGUUCGAGCGUCAUUUCAACCAUCAAGCCCCCGGCUUGUGUUGGGGACCUGUGGCUGCCCGCAGGCCCUGAAAACCAGUGGCGGGCUCGCUGUCACACCGAGCGUAGUAGCAUACAUCUCGCUCAGGGCGUGCUGCGGGUUCCGGCCGUUAAAAGCCUUUUUUACCCAAGGUUGACCUCGGAUCAGGUAGGAAGACCCGCUGAACUUAAGC
rnacentral:misc_RNA from 1 species